AACAAUGUGCUUGGAUUAUCAGUUGGGAGGCCAAAAUAUUCUUGAAAGGUGUUCAAGAACUCUUGGAAAACAGAGCUGCAUAGGCAAAUGAAAACGUGGAAAUGUUGGAAUAAUGGAAAAAUAGAGCUCGUGAUGAAAAAAAUGUGCAACUAAGGAGUAAGGAGUAAGGACGAUGGUUGUUACAGUGUUUGGGAAGGCUUAGCAUCACCAAGCUUUUACUUCGGAUUUAUAUGUAUUCUAUCGUCUCUUUGUAAAACUUAAGUUGAGUCAUUGUAGGAUUUGCUGGAACAAAGGUACGUUCUCGUUAAUUCUUCAAAUGGACGUACUGUUUGAUUUCAACGUCUUGUGUGCAUCAUAAUUACAAUAAAAGCAUUCAGGAAGAGACA